UCUCUGAGAAUUGGGGUAGGCCACAAAUCCGGGACGAGCCCCCACAUGUAAGGCCCCCGAAACUGGGGAGACUUCCACUCGAGUCCUGGGAUGAGCUGGCCGGCACCCCAAUAACUCGAGAGAAA
rnacentral:pre_miRNA from 7 species